CAUAAACGUACUGUAAGUUCACAUGUCGGUCUCGAAGGUAAUUUUCCCUUCUUCCGUGGAGCUUCGUUUCUACCCUAAAAUCUCCAACAAGGCAACAGAUGCAGAGGGCGGGCAUCGAGGGACCAGGCCUUAUAUCUCCUGAAGGUUUAAAGAAGUUCUUUGGAAGGCAACUGAAAAGGCUUUGUAGUUUGCAACACAGGUACAUGGCCGAAAGUGCAAGUGGAACAUAACUAAAUGAUGCUUUCUGUGAACAGUUGCAGUCUCCUAAAAGUAACCACAAAUAGGUGAAAGCUGGUCAGUAGUGAUUCUGAUUGAUCGUAUAUGACAUAUUGUCUCCAU